rnacentral:lncRNA from 1 species
GGGGAACCAAUUAUCCCAUGACAUGUAAAAAUAUUAGAAGGACACAAUCAAACUCCUUUGCCCUAUUCAUUCAACUGGAAAUUAUGGUAGCAGUAUUGAUGAGAUACAAUGAAUAAUUUAUUCUCCUGAGAGAGCACUUUUAAAUUUCUUUUUCUUUCUUUCUUUCUUUCUUUCUUUCUUUCUUUCUUUCUUUUCUUUCUUUCUUUCCUUCCUUCCUUCCUUCCUUCCUUCCUUCCUUCCUUCCUUCCAUCUUCUUUCUUUUUACAUGGGUUCUGGAAGAUGCUCCUUUCUAUGGAGCCACUGAGAUAUGGUAAGAGGAAAAAAGUACACAUUCAUGAUUUUACUCUUUUUUGAGAAUGACUUAAGAACAUUCUUGAAGGAAGAGUUCCAAGAUGUCAACAAAGAUUGUCCUGGGGACAGAGGGGUUGCAUUCCAUGGUCAUCUUCCUGAAUGAGGGAGCAGCCCCUUCUAAGUGAGGCCAGGGGUCUAGGGGCCUCAAGGCCCUCUCAGAAAGGGCUCAUGAAGUCAAAGCUAUUUUCCUAGUAAUACUAGGUCUUGGAUGUUGCUGUAUGAAGAGGAGAUGCUCAGACCUUUUCCAUCUGCCUUGCAGUCAUGAGGAGACAACUAUUGUAAAUGGAAUAACUUUCAACCUCUUUACAUGUUGGACCUCUCUACCUUCUUAUGGUGCUAAGAUCUUAAAUUGCCUCUGUAAGGAUUUUAAGAGGCAGAAGAGUGUUGCUAGUUUUGGAAAAGACUAG